UUUGCGCGCUACGUGGCAUCGUGGUGUACUUCUCCCUCAGCAUUGAAGCCUUUGCUUUAUUGUCACAUCUUUUUUCCUUGAGCUUUUUGGUGCGGGAGGUCAAGUGCGCAAUGUCUCAUCAAAAGCGGCCUCAGCUCACGUUAGCUAUACCGGAAACCCUUCAAGUUCUCGACAUGGGGCUUGACUUUAGGUCGUACUUGACGCGUGUCGACGAAAGUGGUGUGCCUAUCCUGGGAAACGUCAUUUCCUAUGGUGCGGCUAAGGUGGCCGACAUUUUUGAGCCUACUGUCGGGCUGCUUGUGACAGUUCUUCACCUGUUUUCGCAAAGCGGUUCGGGCAGUUCAGCCACUAUGUGGCUCAAGACAUAUGAUACAGUCCAAAAAGUGUAUUUGGAGCAGCAGGAGAACCACAUUGAUACCGAUGGAGCAAAGUAUGCCCAGGCUGCGCGUGACUUCAUUGCGUCGCAGCUGAAUUUAGUCGCUUCCCCCGACAACCGUAUUAUUACUGAGCGUCUUCUUGCAUUCUUGGACUACCAGAGCGGAAUUCGCGGUCCACAGGCUCCUUCUCAACGAAAGAUUCCUCGCGAUCCGAAGGGAGCAUUUUGCAACCUGCACUUAGCCGACCACAAAUGCUAUCAAGAAUUCUCAUGCAAUCAGCUCCACUUGCACGAGGCGGGGCCCGUACGACACCGCAUCAACUUUCUUCAGAAGCUCGCCGAGAUUAUGAUGGCGGAGGAGAGGCCUCGCGCGGAAGUAGUCAAGCGCGUGAAGGACUCGAUUUUUUUUGCCCGGUACGGUAACAAGGUAACAGUUCGGUGUCACAACAAUUGGAUUCCGUUUUUCAAGACUCUUUACACUGACGGGCGCCUCGAGCAGGCCUUUCGCACCAACGCGUAUUCUUGCCAAAACUUGAACUGUGUAGAUGAGCAUUGCAAGGGUAUUCACCCGCAAGAUCGCCGAGUGCCGCCUGCGACAAAACCCAUCGACCUGCACAACGCACAACAGGUGGCACUGGAGCUGGAUGAGGAAGCCGAGCAUGUCGUUAGCGCGGUGGAAAAAGUCAAGAGCGCCCCUGAAGCCCCUCCAGCGUUGUCCUUGGCAUCGCCGCUCUCCGUAUUAUCCCCGACAGCUGAGCUAUGGAGAAAUACUGUUCGAGACUACGUGCGCCAGUCUGGAAUUCCUCAGGUGGAGGCUGACGAAUCCCUCUUGCGCACGCUUCAAGAUACGAAGGUCACAGGAACACCGCUCUCGACCUCGGAGCGGAUGACGCCGCUGCUGGCUGAGUUGGAUAAUUACGCGUUCAAUAGCAGCCAGUCAUCGUUCAAUAGCGAGACACGCACUUAGUGCUUGUGCCCUUUCUCGUUGUAACUCUAUCUUUUCUUUCGUGCUUUCAUACUAUCGUCUUCUUUCACAACGCUACGAAAAUGGGGUAUGUGGUAAGUACACACGAGCACUAAAGAGGCAGCAAAGAGAACGUCUUUUUUUCUACGGACGCCGAGGGCGAGGAUAUCUUUUUCUUUUUUUUGUCUCACUCAGAUCAAAUUGUAGAGUUCUUCGACACCUCUCGGAGGAAAGACUUGAUUGAUACCUCUUCGUGUUGUGCUUUAUUCCCUCUUUGCCUUUUCGUUGCUUUUCGUUAUCGUGCUUUUCAGAAAGUUGUGCUGACCUUUGCCCACUCUUUUUUUUUCACGACGUUGCGAGUGUUGUAUGGUGCGCAGUAGAUACCCACACCAGUGUCUCCCUCGAUUUUCUGAUGUCCUAUACCUAUUUGCGCUGCUGGGCACUCCUAUUUAGUGAGCACUUCUAGAAAGCGUGCCACACUGCUGCGUCGCUACUCUUCACCGCCCCACGACCAAGCUUGACGACUUCCCUCUUGCUGUCAUAAUUUGCUCGCGAUCGUCUUCUCGCCACUUUUCCAAGACAUUCUUGUUCUCCGUCACCAUGAUGUAGUUUUUACGAGUGCGGAGCCGCCUGACGUUUUUUAUUAUUUCUCCAUUAUGCUGGCUGACUCCAGCAGCUUUGGACCACUUUUCGUCGCCUCAUUACCAACGACGCUCUUUUCCCUGCUGCAGAAUAGCUCGUGCUUUUUCUGUUCUUCUUUGUGGUGCUCAUCGCUCACAGGCGAGCUCGAAAGCGUGGAAAAGUAUGAUUCUUCUUCCCCUCAUCUUGUGGCGUCUGUGGCACAAGAUGAAAGAUGCUGAAUUGCUGUUGCGGUAACGAAGACUGCGUGUUCUCUGGGUGAGGUUCAAAGAAACUCAGGGUCUAUUUCCGUGCUGUGCUACUUUCUUCCAAUUACUUCAUUUCACUCAUUGUAUUUGGUCGCAUACAAG
rnacentral:misc_RNA from 1 species